UUGAGGCGGGAGGACUGCUUGAGGCCAGG
rnacentral:piRNA from 1 species